UACGUAGGGUGCGAGCGUUGUCCGGAAUUACUGGGCGUAAAGAGCUCGUAGGUGGUUUGUCGCGUUGUUCGUGAAAUCUCACGGCUUAACUGUGAGAGUGCGGGCGAUACGGGCAGACUGGAGUACUGCAGGGGAGACUGGAAUUCCUGGUGUAGCGGUGGAAUGCGCAGAUAUCAGGAGGAACACCGGUGGCGAAGGCGGGUCUCUGGGCAGUAACUGACGCUGAGGAGCGAAAGCGUGGGGAGCGAACAGG
rnacentral:rRNA from 1 species